rnacentral:rRNA from 1 species
GACAGAGGCCCCAAGCGUUAGGCGGAAUCACUGGGCUUAAAGCGUGUGUAGGCGGACGCCUAAGUGUCUUGUGAAAUCCCCCGGCUCACCCGGGGAACUGCUGGGCAUACUGGGCGUCUUGGGCCAACUAGGGGCAGCCGGAACAAGCGGUGGAGCGGUGAAAUGCGUAGAUAUCGCUUGGAACGCCGAAGGUGAAAACAGGCUGCUGGGGUUGCGCCGACGCUGAGACACGAAAGCCAGGGGAGCAAACGGGG